GAUGAACGCUGGCGGCGUGCCUAAUACAUGCAAGUCGAGCGAACAGACGAGGAGCUUGCUCCUCUGACGUUAGCGGCGGACGGGUGAGUAACACGUGGAUAACCUACCUAUAAGACUGGGAUAACUUCGGGAAACCGGAGCUAAUACCGGAUAAUAUAUUGAACCGCAUGGUUCAAUAGUGAAAGACGGUUUUGCUGUCACUUAUAGAUGGAUCCGCGCCGCAUUAGCUAGUUGGUAAGGUAACGGCUUACCAAGGCAACGAUGCGUAGCCGACCUGAGAGGGUGAUCGGCCACACUGGAACUGAGACACGGUCCAGACUCCUACGGGAGGCAGCAGUAGGGAAUCUGCCGCAAUGGGCGAAAGCUUGACGGAGCAACGCCGCGUGAGUGAUGAAGGUCUUCGGAUCGUAAAACUCUGUUAUUAGGGAAGAACAAAUGUGGAAGUAACUAUGCACGUCUUGACGGUACCUAAUCAGAAAGCCACGGCUAACUACGUG
rnacentral:rRNA from 1 species